UACAGAGACCCCAAGCGUUAUCCGGAUUGAUUGGGCGUAAAGAGUGCGUAGACGGCUUUAUAAGUCUAUGGUUAAAUUCCCGGGCUCGAACCCGAGAACUGCCACGGAAACUGUAAAGCUUGAGUGUGGAAGAGGCGAGCGGAAUUGCCAGUGUAGCGGUAAAAUGCGUUAAUAUUGGCAAGAACACCAGAGGCGAAGGCGGCUCGCUGGGACACAACUGACGUUGUUGCACGAAAGCGUGGGGAGCGAACGGG
rnacentral:rRNA from 1 species